CCAACUGAAAGCCAGCCCAUCUAAUUUAAUGCUCUUUUUAACUCAGCAAAUUCUGAUUCGGAGCAUUGAUGUGCAUGGAUUUUUGUGCAAUCCUAUUUACAAACCAACUGGAAAGAAAAAAAAAAAAAGAGUUCCAGUCUCAGAGUACAUGGUGUAGCGUGGAGCUUGCCAGAGAAGGCAGCUGUGAGAGCCUGAGGGAAGGACGCCACUAGGCGCCCUGUCCUCCCCUCUGUGGCUGAUUCUGCCUCCUAGGCACACCCUUGCUCAAGCUCCAAGUGAGCCGCUAUCAUUAAGAUCAAGAAGUCAUUUUCCCAAGAUUCAAGAAAAACAGAGCUAUAGAUCAGCUGCGAUGUAAGUGUAUCUCAUCUGGGGAAAAAUACCAGAUUAGCAAGUUGAUUUCAAAAUAUAUUAUUUUACUAUUGCUGUUGCUAAAUCUAUUCCCCAGUGAAAAUAUUCUGAGAUUAUGAAUGGUUUGUAUUACAAAAAUUUCUAAAACAAGAAUUUGUCUCAUGGUGUUUAUAAGUCAAUAGAUUUUUUUUUUUUUAAAAAAAAGGACCUUCACAAAAGAAGGUCUUUGCAUAAAAGAAGCACAGUACAGGUAUAGAGGAAAGGGAGGCUGGGCUCCGUCUACAACCAAGUGUACUGACUAACUAGUAAGACCCAAAUUGUCAGAUGGGGUGUACUGGUUGAUGGAGGUACUAAAAAGCUUAUCUCCCUUUUGCUCCCACAUCUCCUGUGCCAAUUUGCUCUUCCUUUUUGAAAGAAUGCAGACCAGAAGCCUGCCUUGCUCAGGCAGCUGGGCGAUCAUUUGUGAUAGCCACACACCCGUUGAUCUUCAUUAGUUUUUUACAAAUGUUUUAAAACUUUUCAGGGGUUGACACAGUUGAGAUUAGAAGUCUUGUGAGAAGAUGUGUGUUGACUUCACUUUCCUCUAAUGCAACUAUUGUGUCAAGGAUCUCAUCCAAAAAUUUCUAAAACAGAUUUUAAAAAUAUCACACAAUCUCAAGGUACAACCUCUGGAUGAAAGGAAUAUUUUGUUGAAAUGAUCUUCCCAAGAGAACUCUUUACUUAGUAAUUUGAAUGAUGGGUUAGGCAUUAUUCCUUAGCAAUAAAAAAAAAUUAAGAAAAGCAUCUUGACAUUGCCAGCUAUUGUGGACACUAGUUGAGUUUGCAAAUUCCCUGACAUUAAUGAAUGAGUCACUCUGUAGUUGUGUGUGAUCUUAAAAUAGGCUUUCUCAAAUAUUCAAUGUUCAUGAAGUUAAACGCAGUAGUUAUUUAGAGGCUAGGGAAGGAGAUACUUAAAAUUAUAAAAGCUUAAAAAUCCAUAUUAUCCUCAAAAAUAAUUCUUGAAAGACUUCACUAUCUUUUCUCAUUGAAUGAGGCGGUACUUUCACAGCUAACAGUUUUGUUUCUA